GCUGGAAUAGCUUAAUCGAUAGAGCAUGAGACUCUCAAUCUCAAGGUCAUGGGUUUGAGCCCCAAGUUGGGCA